AAAUAGAUGAACAUAGUUAUGUAUGUACAACCCUAUUUCAGAUUUAUUCUUGGAAAUAAGUGCAAACCUGCAAGAGAUCUCAUCUUGGAUAUAAAGUAGAAUGUACGUUAGGGCAAAAGAAGCCUAGCACACUGGCACCAGGAGGUAAAGUAACUUAUGAUGACUUAGUUCCCAAUUGCCAAGCCAGGAUAUGAAAUGAAAUCUAACUCCUUUCUGUGCUCUUUCCUUACGCUGCUUCCCACAGAAAUGUCAUUUGUUUAGCAUCUACUUAUUGAGCACCCACCUACACAGCUCUUUGAUAUUCAAAUGUGUUUUCAGUUAAAGGUAAUGGAAAGAGCAAUGGAUGGGCAUCCAGAUAUACCUUAUUUUCCCCGGGUCUCUUCCUUAAUGCUGAGUAGCUUAUUGCUGAAAGCUCAUAGGCAAAUCCCAAUUUCCUCAACCACAAUAUUAUCUCCUUUGUCACCUCUGCUGUUUGAUUCUAAAAAAUUUCUUAAUUUAAGUGUAAUUGACAUGUAAUGUUUUAUUAGUUUCAAAUGUAUACAUAGUGAUUUGACACUGCUCACCAUGCCGUACGAGUGUGGUUGAGGGAGGAUAGGUGGGGAGAAUAGACGCUAAGUUGUUCAGGUUUGAAGCCACAUUAUGACUGGCUCAAAUUUAGACUUGGGCAAACCCUUCAAAUUUUUUAAAAAGAGCAUAGUAAAAACAAAAACAAAACAUUUCAGAAAAUGAUGCUGGCAAAUUUCCUUUAAGAUUUUCUCACCAAUUCGCUUUCCCUUGCACAGUUACUACCAGUUCCGACCGCACUAGGAGGGAUUUGUUAAGGAUUCACCCAAAACUGUGUUGUAGUUUUGGAAGAAUGGGGUUUAGGGAAGGCGGAGUUAAAAUUAAGGCAAACAUCCUGUACUACUUUAAAUAAGUCAGCAAACGUUUAUUAAAAGACAAACUUAAGUCCAGGUUUUCACUCUUCUGCUUUUCCUCCCAGAGUUUGGGAACCGCUGCACCGAAAACGUGCAGACACAGCUAGACCCGACCCGCGCGGGAGGGACAGUAAAGCGGCUGAACCCGCCGGCCGGAAGUCCCUGAACAGGCGGGGCCUCGGCGAGCACGCGCUUCCCGACCGUGGGCACUCCGUCCGCGCGCCCAGAGAAGCGCGCUCGUGCGUACGUACGUGCGUGCAUGCGUGCGUCUGGCGAAAGGGGUGGGCGUGCCUGAGGGAGGCAGCGGCCCGCCGCCGCCGGCGGUAGGUUUUCUGUAGCUGCGGUUGUAGGUUGAGAGCUGGUUUUCUAUGGUCAGUACAUUUCCGUCGCGCCUGGCGGAGCCGCCCAGCCUUUGCGCUACUCCUUCGGGCCCUGAGCCCGCGCUCUUUUGCCCCUGUCAGUUUCGCCGCUCUUGCCACCUUUAGAGCUGAGGCGGUUUUCCGGAGCCGCAGGGCCGGCGCGACUACUAGUAAGUAGGUCCGAAAUCCGCGGCCUGCGGCCGGGGGGACCUGGCACGCCUUGCUGACCGCCGCGAAAAGCCGAAUUCAAAAAAAGCGGACGUUGACUCUCUUUUGCAGACAGGGAGCGUAAAACCCGCAACGCUUGGAGCCUCACUACCGAACAAUACCAAAAAAGUGUUCUGGCCCGGAGACAAGGUUUUGAGAACAAGCAUGCAUUUUUGACUUUUUUUUUUUAACCAUCUUUGCUUCCUUUUAAGUAUUAUUACUUUCGUGCAAGAUACACACUCCAGGGGUAGUUUGAAAAUGCUUUUGAAUUAUGUUCCUCCUAUGGAAAGAGAUUAUUAACGUUUGGACCACCUAAGCUACAUAGUCAUCAAUCCCGAUAAGCUCUUAUUUAGCUCAUCCUAACGUAGGCUACAAACAAAAUAAAGAGUAUCAUAAAAUCCUUUGAAAAAAACUCCUGGUCCAUGGAGAGUUCUCAGAUGUCAGUUAAAAGAAUGUAGAUCGCCUUUUAGAUAAUACUUAAGGUUUUAUCUAGUUUAGAUCUAGAUUUCGAAUCCGUAGCUGGAAGACAUUGAGACUGAAUUUUCUUUUAUUACUAAUCAAGAACUUUGACUUUUGUUCCAUGAAAUUUAGUUUUUUGUUGUUUUAAAAACAGUUCUGAAGCAUUCACGAAAAUCUGGAAAAUACAAAAAGCAAAAGAAAACAAACAAAACCACUUAGAGUUCUGUUGUCCAAACUGAACCAACAUUAAUAUAUUGGCUUGGUUUGACUUAUUUCCAUAUGAAAUACUAAGUUUUCUUGUACUCAUGAGUAGAAUGCGAUAGUUGGCUUUUUCAUGUAACACACCCAUCUAUUUUUACAUAAUUCUAGUUUCAGUAAACAUUUUUAUAACCAGGUGAUGUCUCUUUUUUCCUUUGUUGGUGGAUGUGUAUGUCAUUUCAGUUUUGCACUAUUGUAUAUGACUAUGAUGAAGCGAUAUUUAGAAUAGUAUUUAGAACGUGACCAUUCAAGGGGAGUUGACUUGGGCUUCACCACUCUACCAAGCAACUUAUUUAACCUUUCUGAGCCUCAUUUUACACAUCAGUAACAUGAGGGUAAUAGUUCUCAUCACAAGGGUUAUUAUGGGAAUUAAUUGAAAUAAUGAAUGAAAAUGCCUGGAUCAUAUAUUAGUAAAUACCAACUAUUUCUACAUGUAAAGUUUUUUUCGAUUUUUGUAUUUUUAAAUUUCUUUUGUUCUGAUUUUUUUGGUAACAUGCAUGGUUUAUUCCCAGAUUUUGUAUAUGGUUAAAUACUAUCACCACACUGGGUCUAAGGGGUUUUAUACAUAGGCUUUUUAUAUAUUUUACUAUAUAAAUUAUUCAUAAAAACAUAAGUUAGAAAUACUUUUUUGCAAUAAAAGUUAUAUUUGGCUAUAAUUUAUAAAUAUUCAUGUUUUAUGGUAGGGCCUAUUCUUUCUCACCUUUUAUACAUAUAUACAUACAUUGUUAUUUUUAAGAAUUGCAUCAUAAAGUGUUCAGUGUGAAGAGAGUACAGUGAUUAAGGAGUAGGAAAAAAGCUGGAAAGGGAGGUUUUAGAAUUUAGAUUUCAUUUCGAAUUUAUGGAAUAAGUUCAGUGUUGAGGAAUGACCUGAUUUAAUUUGUUUUGGAGGGUUCAUUUGGCUGAUGUAUGGAGAUAGACAGCAGGGCACCAGAAAGGGAAAGAUGGAAUCCAGUUAGGAGUGUAAUUCAGUAAUCCUCGUGAGUGAUGGUGGUGGUUUCAACCAGGGUGGAAAUGGAAAAAGUGCUGGAUCCUGAAUAUAUUUUGAAAGGACAAGCUAUAGAAUUCAAUGAUUCAUUGGAUGUGGGGUGCAAGAGACAGCAACUUAGAGGUUUGUGGCUUGAGCAAUUGGAUGGAUGCAGUUGCUGCUUACAGAGAUAGAGACUGAAGGAGGAACAGAUUUUAAGUGGGGGGAAAGAAGAGUUCUGUUUUAGUCAGAUCAUACUUUGGAGUCUGUUAGAUGUCUAAUUGGAAGUGAGGUCUUAAAAACUUCAAUUAUUGUUGAGUUACUUGUUUCUCCUUUCACUUCUCUCAUUAGAUGCAUUCAUGUUUACAAACCUUUUCCAUUUGGAUUGACACCUUUAUCAUUACCAAAUGUCCCUCCAGUAACUUUUUAAAAAAUUUUAGUUUACUUUGUCUCAUAUUAUACAACAAUUCCAGCUGUCCAGUGGUUCAUGCUGGCAUGAGAGAUCAUUGUUGUAGUGUCUCCUAUAGACAGCACAUACUUGGAUCUUUUUAGUCUAGUCUAAUGAUCUCUGCCUUUUGAUUAGAAUGCUUAAUUCAUUUGCAUUCAAUGUUAUUGGUAAAGAUGGAUUUAUGUCUGCCAUGUUACUUUGUUUCCUAUAGUCUAAUGUGUUUUUUGUUCCUCUAUCCCUCUUUUACUGCUUUAUUUUGCAUCAGGUGACUAUUUCCUAAUGGAGCAGUUACUUUCUUUAAUGAUUUUUGUUCACAUUUUCUCCUCCUUUUUUUUAAGUUGAAGUAUAAUUAACAUACAGUGUUAUAUUUGUUUCAGACAUACUAUAUAAUGAUUCAGCAAUUCUCUACAUUAUUCAGUGUUCAUCAUGAUAGGUGUACUGUUAACCUCCUUGAUCUAUUUCACCCAUCUGUCCACAUCCCGUCUGGCAACCACCAGUUUUUCUCUGUAUUUAAGGGUCUAUUUUUUUGUCUCUUUUUUUCUUUAUUUGUUUUGUUUCUUAUAUUUCGCAUAUGAAUGAAAUCAUAUGGUAUUUGUCUUUGUCUCUCUGACUUAUUUCACUUAACAUUAUACCCUCUAGGUCCAUUCAUGUUGUUGUGAGUGACAAGAUCUCAUCCUUUUAUAUGGCUGAAUAAUAUUCCACUGUAUAUGUGUACCACAUUGUCUUUAUUCAUCUAUGGAUGGACACUUGUGUUGCUUCCAUAUCUUGGCUAUUGUAAAUAAUGAUAGGGGUGCAUGUAUCUUUUUUUUUAAGAUAUAUUUAUUUUAGAGAGAGAGAGAGAAAGAGAAAGCAUACAUGUGUGGGAGGGGCAGAGUGAGAGAGUCUUAAAGCAGACUCCCCGCUGAGCGUGGAGCCUGGUGCUAGGCUUGAUCUCAGCACCCAUGAGAUCAUGACCUGAGCAGAAACCAAGAGUUGGAUGCUUAACUGACUGAGCCACCCAGGCAUCCCUGCAUGUAUCUUUUUUAAAUUAGUGUUUUAAUUUUCUUUGGAUAAAUACUCAGUAGUGGAAUUACUGGAUCAUUCUAUUUGUAAUUUUUAAUCUUAAGAGGAACCUCCUUAAUGUUUUAUACAGUGGCUGCAACAAUAUACAUUCUCACCAUCAGUGUGCAAAGGUUUCUUUUUCUCUACAUCCUUGCCAACACUUAUUAUUUCUUGUCUAUUUGAUUCAAGCCAUUCUAACAAGUGUAAGGUGAUAUCUCAUUGUGGUUUUGAUUUGCAUUUUCCUAGUGAUUAGUAAUGUUGAGUAUCUUUUCGUGUGUCUAUUGGCCAUUUGUGUGUCUUUUUUGGAAAAAUAUCUAUUUAGGUGCUCUGCCCGUUUUUAAUCAGAUUAUUUGUUCAUUUGUUUUGGUGUUGAGUUGUUUGAGUUCUUUAUAUAUUUUGGAUAUUAACUCCUUAUCAGACAUAUCAUUUGCAAAUAUCUUUUCCCAUUCACUAGGUUGCCUUGUGACUUUGUUGAUGGUUUCCUUUGCUGUGUAAAAGCUGUUUCUUUUGGUAUAGUCUCAAUAGUUUAAUUUUGCUUUUUAUUUCUGUUGCCUAAGAGACAUAUUUAGCAAAAUUUUGUGAUGGCUGAUGUCAAAGAAAUUACUGCCUGUGUUUUCUUCUAGGAGUUUUAUGGCUUCAUGUCUCACAUUUAGGUCUUUAAUCCAUUUUGAGUUUAUUUUUGUGUAUGGUGUAAGAUAGUGGUCCAGUUUCAUUCUUUUGAAUGUCCAGUUUUCCCAGCACCAUUUGUUAAAGAGACUGUCUUUUCUCUGCUGUAUAUUCUUGUCUCCUUUGUCAUAGAUUAAUUUACCGUAUAAGCAUGAGUUUAUUCCUGGGCUCUUUUAUUUUGUUUUACUGAUCUAUUUGUCUAUUUUUGUGAUAGUACCAUACUGUUUUGAUUACAUAGCUUUGUAGUAUAAUUUGAAAUCUGGAAUUAUGAUACCUCCAGCUUUGUUCUUUCUCAAGGUUGCUCUGGUUAUUCAGGACCAUUUGUGUUUCCACACAAGUUUUAGUAUUAUUUGUUCUAGUUCUGUGAAAAAUGCUGUUGGUAUUUUGGUAGGGAUUGCAUUGAAUCUAUAGAUUGCUUUGUGUGUUAUGGACAUUUUAACAAUAUUGGUUCUUACAAUCCAUGAGCAUAGAAUACCUUUCUUUUUAUUUGUGUCAUCUUUAAUUUCUUUCAUCAAUGUUUUUUAGUUUUCAGAGUACAAGUCUUUCACCUCCUUGGUUAAGUUUAUUCAUAGGUGGUUUUUGUUUUUGUUUUCACUUUUUUAAAGCAUUUUUUUAGUGGUUGCUUUAGGGCUUGCCAUAAACAUCUUAAUUUACUAGACUCAGCUUUAGUUUUAUGCUAACUUAAUUGCAAUGAGAUUAAAAACCUCACUCUAAUGUAGUUUUAUUCCAUUUCUCUGCAUUUUUGUGGUAUAAUUGUUAUACACAUUGUAUAUAUAGAUGUUACAAACCCAACAAUAUAUUGUUACAAUGAUUACUUUAUAUCUUUUAAAGAAGCUGAAAGAAAGAGAGCAAGUAUAUACAUAUUUAUAGCUUUUGUUAUAUUGACCUUGACUUUUCUUUUUUAAGACUAUACCAAAAGAAACAGCUUUUACACAGCAAAGGAAACCAUCAACAAAAUCACAAGGCAACCUAGUGAAUGGGAAAAGAUAUUUGCAAAUGAUAUGUCUGAUAAGGAGUUAAUAUCCAAAAUAUAUAAAGAACUCAAACAACUCAACACCAAAACAAAUACGAUUUUUAACCUCUACACCCAACGUGGGGCUCAAACUUACAACCUCAUCAAGAGUCACAUGCUCUACCAACUGAGGGAGCCAGGCACCCCUGACCUUGACCUUCUUAUUUAUGAUUUCUGGUUCUCUUCAUUUAUUGUCUUUGUGAGUUCGUGUUACCAUUCAGAGUAAUUUCUUUAGCCCAGUACAGCUUUUCUCCUACCCACCUCCUUUAGCAAAUAUGUUAUAUUUCCAUGUGUUAGAGGCUCAACAAUACAUUGUGAUUUAAUUUUUCGUUAAAUUCAUUUCAUUCAUUCAUGAAAUUUCAUUUCACUAAAAUUUUUAAAAUUUAAUAAAUCUACCUUGAAUUUAAAGCACUUUGUAUUUAAAAAAAUUUUAAUUGCAGCAGUUUGUGAAAUAGACAUCUGUAUGUACUGUAUGCUAUGCUCUUCAAUAGGCUAUGUUCUUCUUUGGCUAUGUUUUUAAGUAGGUAAAUGGAUAAACUGUGGUACAUCCAUACAAUGGAAUGUGAUACUAUUGGAAUACUAUUCAGUGAUAGAAAUGAACUAUCAAGCCAUGAAAAGACAUGGAGGAAUCUUACGUGCACAUUGCUAAGUGAAAGAAAUCUUAGUAUAUGAAAGAAGUCAUGGCAUAGUAUGAUACUAUAAUGAUGGAUACACAUCAUUAUAUGUUUGUCCAUACCUUUAGAAUGUACAACACUGAGAGUGAAGCCUAAUGUAAACUAUGGACUUUAGUUAAUAAUUCAUCAAUUUUGGUUCAUUAAUUAUAAAGACUGUACCACACCAAUGCAAGAUGUUAAUGAUAGGGGAAACUGAGGGUGGGAGGGAGAGAGAGUACAGUAGUCCUCCCCACCCCUUCAUUCAUGGUUUCACUUUCUACAGUUUCAGUUACCUAUGGUCAACCACGGUUCAGAAACAGACAAUCCUCCUUCUGAUAUAUCUUCAGAAGGUCAGUUGUAGCCUAGCACUGUCACAAUGCCUACAUCAUUCACUUCACUUCAUCUCAUCACAUGGAUAUUUUAUCAUCAAAUAUCAUCACAAGAAGAAGGGGAAGGACUUUGAAGCUCCAGUUGCAACUGGUUGAAAUACUUUCAUUAGAUAUAAGGUGCAAGAUUUGCUAGUUUACCAGCAGCACAAAGAAAAACCUCAAGAACCACAUUUUAAUUUUCUUCUAAAGGAUAGGUGGCAUUACAGUUUUGAACUAGAAAUAAAUUUUGACUCAGAUGAAACAUCAACAAUUUUAGAGUGUAGAUUAGUCAGAAAACAAAGAAAAUUUGAGAAAGAUACCUUUUCUGUUAUCAAUGUAGAGUACGCCCAAACCUGAAUUCUGUGUGCUGAUUCUAACUGCAGGUGGUCAAAGCAACAGUCCUCAUGUACCUACCCCACACACGUGAAGCAAGCACACUAUUUGAAGAAGCUGGACAAUUCCUGCUAAAGGGCUUUUCUCUCUGUGGCUAAUAUCCUCUGAGCUAAAAUCAGGUUGGAAAGAUAAAAGACCUAGUCUGAGUGCUUUACAACUGUUGGUUUAUAAAGAGUUUAUAGUAUAUAAUCUCAAAACCUUGGUACAAUUAAGUGUCCAAAGUAGUUUCCAAACAGAGAAUUGAAAAAGGCAGAAAAGAAGGAAGAAAUGACAAGAAUUCACCUGUUAAAAUGUUACGAUGAAAGAAGCCUUCUAUAUAGCCUGAUAUCUUAGACCAAAGUGUACUUACACUGUGAAUGUCAAAAGAGACUUUUUGGAUUUGUCCAUUUCUAUUGUAAUUGACAAAUGACUGAAUAGAACUCAAAGGGAGGACACCUAAAAUUUCACAUGCUGGUUGGAGUGCUUGAUACGGAAAAAGUUUUCUUGACACAAAAUGAUUUGGGGGGCUGCAUAGGAAUCAGUCACCAAGAAAAGGAAUCAGUCAUCAUAGUAUUUUUUAGUGUCCAGAAUGUUUAGCUUUCUGUGAAGCUGAACACGUACGUAAUCACAGGAGACUUCUCAUGAUGAUAACUUAUUUAAAUCUGCACAGUAAUUUCACUGGUACGUUUAGAGCAUUUCUUUUGGUUGUUAUUGCUGUUCUUAUUCAUUCGUCUUCGAUGAUAUCCGGCAAAUUGUAUUUUAGACACGAACAGUAAUGGCACCUGCAUGUGUUAGUGCAACCGUAUGAUUAGCGUCUUGUUGUUUGCAUAAUUUCAGGCAGUUUGAUACAAUUAGGUAUAAUCAAAGUGUGUAGGAGUAGAAAAUGAUUUUCUAGUGUAUGUAUUACAUUGUCUCCUUUUAAUCUAUGUUUGAAUAUAUGUCCCUAAUCUUGUAGAGUUAAAGACAUACCUCAAUAGAGUUACAGUCUGUUUACUGUGAAUUAAAACUGGUGAAGAAUACGAGAAUUGCUUGUACAGUUUGGUGCCACUUGAUUUAUACUAAGGUGCCAGCAGUUCUACCACCUUUGAUUUUGUGCCAUCAGUACAACAUCAGCACAGCCAAAAGCAGACAGCAUCUUGGUAUUACAGGUAUCCCCUGAUUUUUGAAAGUUUGCAUUAUGCCACCUUGCAUUUAUGAAAGACCCACGUUAUAUUCUUUCCUCACUAACCGAAAGAAAGCCAUAGAGGAUUUCCACUUUUACAUAAAGCAAAAAUAGUGUUCAGCAUCUGUUUUGCAGCGAACAGCUAUACUCCCCAAGUAGGGCGGGCGGCACUGCCAAGCGCUUUCCCCAGGAACUAUCCUCGCCAUCUCAGUGCGGAGCCGCUAUAGCUUUGAACUGUGUCUGUGAGCGUUUGUGCCUUAUCUCAAUUUAUUUUGUGCAUCCAUUGGCAAGAUGUGUUGCAAGGUAUCAGAAAAGCCUAAGAGGGUUUUAUUGGGUCUGGGAACGCUUAGAACCUUUUUUGUAUAAAUUAAUGGUAAUCGUUUCUUCGCUUUACCCCAUUUUGCCUAAUGGAAGGUUUCAUAGGAACGCUCUGCUUUCAGAUAAUGAGGGAUACCUGUAUUAUGAAAGUCAUUUUGACAUUGUCGACCCCCCAUACAAGUUUUGGGAACCCCUAAUGAUUCAUGGACCAUACUUUGAGAACUACAAUGAUACUUAGAAAAGUUAAUCAAAUAGACAAAAGAGGGAGGGAUGACUUUUGCCGUUACUGUUAAUCCGAACACUGCACCGGUUACCAAUGCCAGAAGACUCCAACUAUAUGGAGGAUAGCAAAGCUCAUCACUGUGCCAGCCCCCAGGAAUAGAAGUCCAGACACUCCUGUCUACAGCAUCUUCAUGUCAGAGUCGCCAAGGAAAACAGAACACAGUCAAGCACUAGAUGAAACAAUGCUUUUACUCAAGUAUAGAAGGGGCAGAACAAGAUCAGCUCUAACAGUGUGCUUUGGUCCCCCUGGCCAGCAGGUCCCCUGGCAGCCAGUGCAGGACAAAUGGCCUGCACCAACUCCGCGUAUGCUGUGGGAGAAGGACGCCGACACCUCCCCUGUGGAGACUGAAAUACUGAACGCUAGGGGCACGUCUGAGGGCCUUUGAGGUGCCCACUUCAGCAGAACAAAGGAGCACACAAUGAGCCUGAAACAGGGAUAUAUCUUCUUACACAAGGUGAUAAGAUCAACACAGGCUGUGUGGACUCUUUACCUUGGUAAGGAAGUGUUCCUGCCCACGGCCUGUUCUUAUGUGGCUGAGUGGGGUAGAAGGACUGUGGGCAUGAGACUGCCUUCCCAAAGGUCAUGUCUUCCCUGCUGCUCCUCUUGAGCUAGCCUACGCUCUGUGCUUUACUUUCUUUUCUGUUAAAUCGUUUUGUUUUAAUGUAUUCUGUAAUGUUUUCUUGUUGAAAUUAUUAUAAAAUGUAAUUAUAUAGA